rnacentral:lncRNA from 7 species
AGGGCUGCUACUGAGCGUAUCCUCAACACCUAUGUAUCCCCAAAGGCACUGUCAAAGGCAGGAUGACUAAAGCCAUUCGCUGCUCUGAGACAGAGAUGCUUGUUGCUGAUCAGAAUCACUGGAGAGACAUUAAUCUAGAAACCGCGGAGAAAUGCACUUGGUCACGUAGCUCCAAAUUUUCACCUACCCUGCAUGGGGCUUGUAUUUUUAAGGCAGUUGUGAUUAUUGCAGCUAUACGUUCCAAGAAGGGACAGAACAGAAGGAAAAAAAAGAUCUACCAAAUGAAGAAAGGAGUAGAAAGAAUAUCAGUGCUUCUGGUGACAUCUGUGCCGUCCACCUUCUGUGAGCUGCAGUCUAAAUAUCUACUGACAAUUUAAGGUUCUUCGAGGAUACCAGACUUCCCAGUAUAUUGCCACGUCUCGUGGUAUCACCUCAGCUGGCAUUAGGAAUUGAUGUCCAAGGGUACUGCACGGCUGCCAGGACCUGGGAAACACUUCACUUCUUGGGCAGUCACAUCUGCCCCCAACAAGCCAUGCUGGCAUGCUUUCUAAACACAGAUGUAUUGUAGAGUAAACUGUCUACAAUUAUACAGACUGGAGUGAGUUAAUAAACUGCAUAUUAUGGUAAGAGGUU